rnacentral:rRNA from 1 species
AUGGCGCCUCUCUCCACCGCCGUCCGCCUCCUGCGCUCCCCCGCGGCUCCGCCCGCCCGCCUCGCAGGGGCGCCAGCGCGCGUCCGAGGCGGCCGCCGCAGGCUCCGGUCGGUGCGCGCGGAGGCGGCCAAGGAGGCGGAGGUGGGGGAGCUGAGGGCCGGGGUGUCCGUCUACAAGCCGCGCUCCUACGAGGUGCUCGUCUCCGACGCCGCUCGCUCCCUCGCCGCCGCCAUCGACGACGGCAGGACCCGCCUCGAGAUCGAGUUCCCGCCUCUGCCCAGCAGCAUCUCCUCCUACAAGGGGUCUUCGGACGAGUUCAUUGAUGCCAACGUCCAGCUCGCUCUCGCCGUCGUUAGGGACCUCAAAAAGCUCAAGGGGACUCGGUCCUGCAUAGUGUUUCCUGAUCAACCGGAGAAGCGAAGGGCCUCGCAGAUAUUCAAAACAGCUAUAGAUCAGAUCGAGGGUAUAUCCAUCAGCUCGUUGGACGAUCUGCCCACCGGGCCUGUCGAUACCUUCUUCAAAUCGAUAAGAAGUACCCUUGAUUUCGAUUUUGCUGAUGACAACGAAGAUCAAUGGAAGUCUGACGAACCACCAUCACUAUAUAUCUUUAUCAACAGCAGCACGGGUGACCUUUCAUCUAUAGAGAAGUAUGUGGACCAAUUUGCUGCCUGUGUACCUGCUGUUCUCUUUAACCUUGAACUAGAUACCUUGCGUUCUGACCUGGGGCUUCUGGGAUUCCCCCCAAAAGAUUUGCAUUACCGGUUUCUUUCUCAGUUUACCCCAGUAUUUUAUAUCAGACAGCGUGACUACUCGAAGACAAUUGCGGUCACUCCAUACAUAGUGAACUACAGUGGCGCUGUCUUCCGUCAGUACCCAGGGCCCUGGCAAGUCAUGCUUAAGCAGGGUGAUGGUUCCUAUGCAUGUGUUGCAGAGAGUGCAUCUCGGUUCACUUUGGGGCAGGCCAAGGAUGAACUAUUGAGAGUUCUCGGUUUGCAAGAAGAGGUAGGCAGCCAGCUUGAAUUCCUCAGAAGAGGAUACAAGAAUGCCACUUGGUGGGAAGAGAAUUUCGAUCAGGAGAAAUCGCCCGCGUGGCGAACUUGA